rnacentral:tRNA from 1 species
GGUAGCCAUAGUUCAAUGGUAGAACACUCGCAUGUGGCGCGAUUUAUCUGAGUUCAACUCUCAGUGGUUAUC